GAUGAACGCUGGCGGCGUGCUUAACACAUGCAAGUCGAACGGAAAGGCCCUGCUUGCAGGGUACUCGAGUGGCGAACGGGUGAGUAACACGUGGGUGAUCUGCCCUGCACUUCGGGAUAAGCCUGGGAAACUGGGUCUAAUACCGGAUAGGAGCCAUUUUUAGUGUGAUGGUUGGAAAGUUUUUUCGGUGUAGGAUGAGCUCGCGGCCUAUCAGCUUGUUGGUGGGGUAAUGGCCUACCGAGGCGGCGACGGGUAGCCGGCCUGAGAGGGUGGACGGCCACAUUGGGACUGAGAUACGGCCCAGACUCCUACGGGAGGCAGCAGUGGGGAAUAUUGCACAAUGGGCGCAAGCCUGAUGCAGCGACGCCGCGUGGGGGAUGACGGCCUUCGGGUUGUAAACUCCUUUCGCUAGGGACGAAGCUUUUUGUGACGGUACCUAGAUAAGAAGCACCGGCUAACUACGUG
rnacentral:rRNA from 1 species